rnacentral:lncRNA from 1 species
AGAGGACUUAAUGGGGCAUACCGUUAAUAAUGCUGUAUGAGUCUUAAAACGAUCCAAAAGUUAAAAAGCCAUAAGCACAAAUUCUCCCAUACUUUUAAAAGCAGAGGAGCUCAACUCAUUAUAUUAUAAAUUGUAUAUUAUUUCACGAAUUAGGCUACUAUAUUAUUAAUAGCACCAAGUCAUUGGUGUUAUUAGGUUUUCGGCCCUUGGAUGAGGGAAUAUGCUGUUCGGAUGAUAGUGGUCUCCUAGAGUUGAGUUGGUGGUUGGUUGAAUACUAUGAUCUAAUCAGUAUAAAUAGUUAAAGGAAUAGAUCUAACAGUAAAAAACUGAUAGCACCAGGUAUUUGGUGUUAUCCAUAGUAUAGUAGCCGUACUCAUUAUUUCACUAUCUAAU